UGCAGUCGAACGAUGAAGCCCAGCUUGCUGGGUGGAUUAGUGGCGAACGGGUGAGUAACACGUGAGUAACCUGCCCUUAACUCUGGGAUAAGCCUGGGAAACUGGGUCUAAUACCGGAUAGGAGCGCCUACCGCAUGGUGGGUGUUGGAAAGAUUUAUCGGUUUUGGAUGGACUCGCGGCCUAUCAGCUUGUUGGUGAGGUAAUGGCUCACCAAGGCGACGACGGGUAGCCGGCCUGAGAGGGUGACCGGCCACACUGGGACUGAGACACGGCCCAGACUCCUACGGGAGGCAGCAGUGGGGAAUAUUGCACAAUGGGCGCAAGCCUGAUGCAGCGACGCCGCGUGAGGGAUGACGGCCUUCGGGUUGUAAACCUCUUUCAGUAGGGAAGAAGCGAAAGUGACGGUACCUGCAGAAGAAGCACCGGCUAACUACGUGCCAGCAGCCGCGGUAAUACGUAGGGUGCGAGCGUUAUCCGGAAUUAUUGGGCGUAAAGAGCUCGUAGGCGGUUUGUCGCGUCUGUCGUGAAAGUCCGGGGCUUAACCCCGGAUCUGCGGUGGGUACGGGCAGACUAGAGUGCAGUAGGGGAGACUGGAAUUCCUGGUGUAGCGGUGGAAUGCGCAGAUAUCAGGAGGAACACCGAUGGCGAAGGCAGGUCUCUGGGCUGUAACUGACGCUGAGGAGCGAAAGCAUGGGGAGCGAACAGGAUUAGAUACCCUGGUAGUCCAUGCCGUAAACGUUGGGCACUAGGUGUGGGGACCAUUCCACGGUUUCCGCGCCGCAGCUAACGCAUUAAGUGCCCCGCCUGGGGAGUACGGCCGCAAGGCUAAAACUCAAAGGAAUUGACGGGGGCCCGCACAAGCGGCGGAGCAUGCGGAUUAAUUCGAUGCAACGCGAAGAACCUUACCAAGGCUUGACAUGUUCUCGAUCGCCGUAGAGAUACGGUUUCCCCUUUGGGGCGGGUUCACAGGUGGUGCAUGGUUGUCGUCAGCUCGUGUCGUGAGAUGUUGGGUUAAGUCCCGCAACGAGCGCAACCCUCGUUCCAUGUUGCCAGCACGUCGUGGUGGGGACUCAUGGGAGACUGCCGGGGUCAACUCGGAGGAAGGUGAGGACGACGUCAAAUCAU
rnacentral:rRNA from 1 species